GGCUAGCUCAGUUGCUUAGAGCGUGGUGCUGAUAACGCCAAGUUUGCAGGUUCGUUCGAUCCUUGGAUGGGACA